rnacentral:rRNA from 1 species
GAUGAACGCUGGCGGCGUGCCUAAUACAUGCAAGUCGAGCGAACAGACGAGGAGCUUGCUCCUCUGACGUUAGCGGCGGACGGGUGAGUAACACGUGGAUAACCUACCUAUAAGACUGGGAUAACUUCGGGAAACCGGAGCUAAUACCGGAUAAUAUAUUGAACCGCAUGGUUCAAUAGUGAAAGACGGUUUUGCUGUCACUUAUAGAUGGAUCCGCGCCGCAUUAGCUAGUUGGUAAGGUAACGGCUUACCAAGGCGACGAUGCGUAGCCGACCUGAGAGGGUAAUCGGCCACACUGGAACUGAGACACGGCCCAGACUCCUACGGGAGGCAGCAGUAGGGAAUCUUCCGCAAUGGGCGAAAGCCUGACGGAGCAACGCCGCGUGAGUGAUGAAGGUCUUCGGAUCGUAAACCUCUGUUAUUAGGGAAGAACAAAUGUGUAAGUAACUAUGCACGUCUUGACGGUACCUAAUCAGAAAGCCACGGCUAACUACGUG